AUUGAACGCUGGCGGCAGGCCUAACACAUGCAAGUCGAACGAGUGGCGGACGGGUGAGUAAAGACUGGGAAACUGCCUGAUGGAGGGGGAUAACUACUGGAAACGGUAGCUAAUACCGAAUACCAACCGAGGUGCCCAGAUGUGAUUAGCGUGUGGGUGGGGUAAAGGCUCACCAAGGCGACGAUCCCUAGCUGGUCUGAGAGGAAGACCACCCACACGUGAACUGAGACACGGUCCAGACUCCUACGGGAGGCAGCAGUGGGGAAUAUUGCACAAUGGGCGCAAGCCUGAUGCAGCCAUGCCGCGUGUAUGAAGAAGGCCUUCGGGUUGUAAAGUACUUUCAGCGGGGAGGCGUUACCCGCAGAAGAAGCACCGGCUAACUCCGUGCCAGCAGCCGCGGUAAUUC
rnacentral:rRNA from 1 species